UACGGAGGAUGCGAGCGUUAUCCGGAUUUAUUGGGUUUAAAGGGAGCGCAGGCGGCGAGUUAAGUCAGCGGUAAAAUUUCGGGGCUCAACCCCGACAAGCCGUUGAAACUGGCUUGCUAGAGUGCGCGAGAAGUAUGCGGAAUGCGUGGUGUAGCGGUGAAAUGCAUAGAUAUCGCGCAGAACUCCGAUUGCGAAGGCAGCAUGCCGGCUCCACACUGACGCUGAGGCACGAAAGUGCGGGUAUCGAACAGG
rnacentral:rRNA from 1 species